rnacentral:hammerhead_ribozyme from 1 species
CGCUAGCUGACGAGUCCCAAAUAGGACGAAAUGUGCAUCAUGGAU